GACGAACGCUGGCGGCGUGCUUAACACAUGCAAGUCGAACGGAAAGGCCCUGCUUUUGUGGGGUGCUCGAGUGGCGAACGGGUGAGUAACACGUGAGUAACCUGCCCUUGACUUUGGGAUAACUUCAGGAAACUGGGGCUAAUACCGGAUAGGAGCUCCUGCUGCAUGGUGGGGGUUGGAAAGUUUCGGCGGUUGGGGAUGGGCUCGCGGCUUAUCAGCUUGUUGGUGGGGUAGUGGCUUACCAAGGCUUUGACGGGUAGCCGGCCUGUGAGGGUGACCGGCAAAAUUGGGAAUGAGAUACGGCCCAGACUCCAACGGGAGGCAGCAGUGGGGAAUAUUGCACAAUGGGCGGAAGCCUGAUGCAGCAACGCCGCGUGCGGGAUGACGGCCUUCGGGUUGUAAACCGCUUUCGCCUGUGACGAAGCGUGAGUGACGGUAAUGGGUAAAGAAGCACCGGCUAACUACGUG
rnacentral:rRNA from 1 species